AGUGAACGCUGGCGGCGUGCUUAACACAUGCAAGUCGAACGAGAACGGGAUAUAGCUUGCUAUAUUUGUCAGCUAAGUGGCGCACGGGUGAGUAAUGUAUAGAUAACCUGCCCUCUAGAAAGGAAUAACAGUUGGAAACGACUGCUAAUGCCCUAUAUGCCUUUAAUACAUAAGUAUGCAAGGGAAACGCUUUAGUGCUAGAGGAUGGGUCUGUAUGGUAUCAGCUUGUUGGUGAGGUAAUGGCUCACCAAGGCUAUGACGCCUAACUGGUUUGAGAGGAUGAGCAGUCACACUGGAACUGAGACACUGUACAGACUCCUACGGGAGGCAGCAGUGGGGAAUAUUGCACAAUGGACGAAAGUCUGAUGCAGCAACGCCGCGUGGAGGAUGACACAUUUCGGUGCGUAAACUCCUUUUAUAUAGGAAGAUAAUGACGGUACUAUAUGAAUAAGCACCGGCUAACUCCGUGCCAGCCGCCGCGGUAA
rnacentral:rRNA from 1 species